rnacentral:piRNA from 1 species
UAGAUAACCGAUCAAAUCUUG